GAUGAACGCUGGCGGCGUGCCUAAUACAUGCAAGUCGAGCGAACAGACGAGGAGCUUGCUCCUCUGACGUUAGCGGCGGACGGGUGAGUAACACGUGGAUAACCUACCUAUAAGACUGGGAUAACUUCGGGAAACCGGAGCUAAUACCGGAUAAUAUAUUGAACCGCAUGGUUCAAUAGUGAAAGACGGUUUUGCUGUCACUUAUAGAUGGAUCCGCGCCGCAUUAGCUAGUUGGUAAGGUAACGGCUUACCAAGGCAACGAUGCGUAGCCGACCUGAGAGGGUGAUGGGCCACACUGGAACUGAGAAACGGCACAGCCUCCUACGGGAGGCAGCAGUAGGGAAUCUUCCGAAAUGGGCGAAAGCCUGACGGAGCAACGCCGCGUGAGUGAUGAAGGUCUUCGGAUCGUAAAACUCUGUUAUUAGGGAAGAACAAAUGUGUAAGUAACUAUGCACGUCUUGACGGUACCUAAUCAGAAAGCCACGGCUAACUACGUG
rnacentral:rRNA from 1 species